AUGAGCUGUGGUAAGGGGUGAAAGGCUAAACAAAACUGGAAAUAGCUGGCACUCCCCGAAAUGCCUUGAGGGACAGCCUCAUACGCCUAUCAUGGAGGUAGAGCACUGUUUGGACUAGGGGUCUUCACCGGCUACCAAACCCAGGCAAACUGCGAAUGCCAUGACAGAAGGUAUGGGAGUGAGACGGCGGGCGAUAAAGUUCGUCGUCGAGAGGGGAACAGCCCGGACCGACAGCUAAGGUCCCUAAAUGCCGCUGAGUGUGAAAUGAGGUGCGAUUGCGAAGACAGCCAGGAGGUUGGCUUAGAAGCAGCAAUUCCUUAAAAGAGUGCGUAACAGCUCACUGGUCGAGCAAUGGUGCGCAGACAAUGUAACGGGGCUAAGCGGUAUACCGAAGCUUUGGAUUCAUACUUUUAGGGUAUGGAUGGUAGGGGAGCAUUCCAUGGACCGGAGAAGGUACACUGAGAGGUGUGCUGGAGGGGAUGGAAGAGAGAAUGCAGGUAUAAGUACACGAAAAGACGGGUGAGAUUCCCGUCCGCCGGAAACCUAAGGUUUCCUGGGUAAAGGUCAUCUGCCCAGGGUUAGUCGGUCUCUAAGAUGAGGCGGAAGCGCGUAGUCGAUGAGAAUCCGGUUCAUAUUCCGGAACCAUAUAUAAGAACGAAGGGAUGACGCAUGAGGUGGAGCACUGCCGGCUGACGGAAUAGCCGGUUGACCUAGCGAGCUUAAGAGGUAGCGAGGCAAAUCCAGCUACUGAGGUGAGCUAGGGAGGGAGGGAAGCUACGGUGGAACGAAGUGUGCCGAAUCAAGGUGCCAAGAAAGAGUCUCUAAGGCUAACUUAUAUAUGACCGUACCGUAAACGGACACACGUAGGUAGGAUGAGAAAUCUAAGGCGCUCGAGAGAACUCGCGUUAAGGAACUCGGCAAAAUGCACACGUAACUUAGGGAGAAGUGUGGCCUAUUGAGAGAUAGGUUGCAGAAAAUAGGCCCAGGCGACUGUUUACCAAAAACACAGGACUCUGCGAACGCGCAAGCGGAAGUAUAGGGUCUGACGCCUGCCCGGUGCUGGAAGGUUAAGAGGAGGGGUUAGCAGGUAACUGCGAAGCUCUGAAUUGAAGCCCCAGUAAACGGCGGCCGUAACUAUAACGGUCCUAAGGUAGCGAAAUUCCUUGUCGGGUAAGUUCCGACCCGCACGAAUGGCGUAACGAUGGCCACACUGUCUCCUCCUGAGACUCAGCGAAGUUGAAAUGUUUGUGAAGAUGCAAUCUCCCCGCGGCUAGACGGAAAGACCCCAUGAACCUUUACUGUAGCUUUGCAUUGGACUUUGAACCGG
rnacentral:rRNA from 1 species